AAUAAAAGUAGCACUGGUACAUUACAUUUAAUUAGCAUCCAAACUAAAGAUCCCGAACACCCUGCAAGCAAUUUCCAUGCGGGAAACAUUUUGCCUGACAAGCGAGCGCAGCCAGUUCUGACGGGGAGCGGAGCAGCUCUUCCACGGGGACAGGACGGGGGAGAGGACACAAAUUCAACCCGAGGGGCUCCGAGCAGAACUGUUCUCGACCGUGGAAGACCUAAAGUACCUAAUGAUGUCUACUUAGCAUUUUUGGAAGCAAAGAAAAACUUGGGAGACUAUGGGACAAAUUACAUCCUCAAGUGCGCUAAAGUAAACCAGGAUAAAACCUAACAGAGAUGCUGAGCUGUAGCAAUUUAACCAGAUAGAGAAAUGUCGUCACCCUAUUGAAUUUAGAAAUGACCCACCUUCAUCUCACUCAGAGGUGAACUAAAGCAACAUCAGGAGCAGGAAGAACUCAUCCCUGUAGGAUUUAACAACCCAGAUAGCUCACAACACCCAUGCUCUGCAGCUACACAUGAGGGAUCUUACACGGGCAGCCGACCAGGGCUGGCCCUCUACUAAACAAGGAUGAUGAGACUUGGACUCCAGCAAACUCGGAUGGAAAGUAGUGGUCUCAGAAAAAGUAUCUUCUUGACCUCAGCAGUUUGGAUCAGGUCCAGUUUUCAGGUAUGAGCAGCUGAAGGCAGCUCCAAAGCCUCCUGAAAUCGUGACUACAGCGGGAUAUAGCAGUACGGCCCAAAAGGAGUGGCUCUCUUGAGCAAAUCAGUUGGUGCUGAGUAUCCAACUUGGCCCCGCGGAACUGGAUCACUCCACUAGGUGAAGCAAAGCAUUGCAAUGGGGAUGCUCAGAUUACGGCUUCAAAAUCACAAUUCUGCUGUGAGCUGAAACGCUGAUGUAUGCACAUCCUGCAAGGUUUGCAUUUAUGGCCUUAAAGACCACUGAAGAAGCGAAAAAGUCCAUUUUAUCCAGCUAAGUGUGCUGCACCCUACAUGUACUGUUCUAUUUAGUAAGGUACAAAGACAUAUGCAGUUACAAAUGCAACAUUUUCGCUGAUUACAUUCAUUCAUACUGUACAACGGAGUUUGUUUAGAAUGAGCAAAACUCAAGAACAGUCAGGAUUCAGGCAGUGGCAGCUUUAAAUCUACUCAUUCAACCAAAUGAAGUGUUUUCCCUUAAAGACUUUUGUGUGACACCAUCACUCAGAAAAGAGACCUUCUGACCACUCCUCCAAAAGGUUAUCAGGAUCUUGAAAUUGCCCUUAGCUUUACGGAAGGGAAUACCUUCGCGCAGAA